rnacentral:rRNA from 1 species
AGAGUUUGAUCCUGGCUCAGGAUGAACGCUAGCGGCAGGCUUAACACAUGCAAGUCGAGGGGCAGCGAGAUCAAAGCUUGCUUUGAUUGUCGGCGACCGGCGCACGGGUGCGUAACGCGUAUGCAACCUACCCACUACAGGGGGAUAACACUGAGAAAUCGGUACUAAUACCCCAUAAUAUCUUGGAAGGCAUCUUUCGAGGUUGAAAACUCCGGUGGUAGUGGAUGGGCAUGCGUUGUAUUAGCUGGUUGGUGAGGUAACGGCUCACCAAGGCGACGAUACAUAGGGGGACUGAGAGGUUAACCCCCCACAUUGGUACUGAGACACGGACCAAACUCCUACGGGAGGCAGCAGUGAGGAAUAUUGGUCAAUGGACGCAAGUCUGAACCAGCCAUGCCGCGUGCAGGAAGACGGCUCUAUGAGUUGUAAACUGCUUUUGUAUGAGGGUAAACCCGGGUACGAGUACCCGGCUGAAAGUAUCAUACGAAUAAGGAUCGGCUAACUCCGUGCCAGCAGCCGCGGUAAUACGGAGGAUCCAAGCGUUAUCCGGAUUUAUUGGGUUUAAAGGGUGCGUAGGCGGUUUGAUAAGUUAGAGGUGAAAUGUUAGGGCUUAACCCUGAAACUGCCUCUAAUACUGUUGAGCUAGAGAGUAGUUGCGGUAGGCGGAAUGUAUGGUGUAGCGGUGAAAUGCUUAGAGAUCAUACAGAACACCGAUUGCGAAGGCAGCUUACCAAACUAUAUCUGACGUUGAGGCACGAAAGCGUGGGGAGCAAACAGGAUUAGAUACCCUGGUAGUCCACGCAGUAAACGAUGAUAACUCGCUGUCGGCGAUACACAGUCGGUGGCUAAGCGAAAGCGAUAAGUUAUCCACCUGGGGAGUACGUUCGCAAGAAUGAAACUCAAAGGAAUUGACGGGGGCCCGCAC